AUGCCGCGGCCCGCGUGCGCCCGCUCCGGGGACUGCGCCUGCGCGGCCGGCCCUCACGGAGCCCGGGGAAGGUUGCGCCUGCGCAGUCGGCCCACUCCGGCCCGGGGGCGGGACUGCGCCUGCGCAGUCGGCCCAACCCAGCCCUGGGGGCGGGGCGACGCCUGUGGAAUCGCCCCUUCAGCGGCGCCUCGGCACCUAGAGCCGCCCGUCCGGCCGGGCCCCGGGGAGAGGCGGGCGUGCGGGCAUUGCGCCUGCGCGCGCCGGCCCCGCCCCCGGCCCCGCCCCGGCCGCGCGGGGCCCUGGGAGGGGUGCAGCGUCCGGCGGCUGCGGCGGCGGCGCGGGAGGGGCCGGGGGCGGACAAAGCCGAGGCCGAUGAAUGGGGCGCGUCCGCCUGCGCGGCCGUGGGGUCCCCGCGGAAGGGGCAACCGGGGCCUCGUUCACACGGCUCAGCACACGAGACGCUCCUCAUGUCUGCACGCUUCUGAUGCUUCUUGGUUGCUGAGCGUGUUUCUGGGUAUGACAUUCAAGUAUCCCUGCCCGGCGUGGAAGCUGGAGAGAGAGCAGACCUGGGCAGCAGCGCUGCGGGAGCACGAGGCGCUGUGGCCGUGGUCAGUCUGUCCUCCCCGUGUCUCUGCCCGGCCUCAGCUCCUUCCUCCCAGCUCUGCUCUGAUUCCCUCCUUCAGUGUGAGGACUGCCAGCGAGGGCAGGGGGCAGUGCUCGCAGGCACACGGGGGCGCCUGCCAGGGUUGGCUGGGGCCCCUCCGACUGUCCCUCAGCAGCGCCGGUUCCUCCUAAGCUUCUCUGCACAAAGCAGGCGACUGAGAGGUGACCGUCAUUCUCCUGGUUACUGCCUGACGUCUAAUGUAAGCUGUAGGAGGCAUCAUCUUUGUUUACGGUUGGUGUCUUACUGAAUUCAGCCGCACGGAGUCCUGCCCCGACCACCCUGCACCCUCCCAUCUGGCCUCCCGUCAGUGUCCGGGUGGCGGCAAACUUCCUGUCAGGCAACUUCCAGAGCCUCGGCCCCUUCCAUUUCCCUGUCUUUCCCUCCCUCCUCCCUUAGGCUCUGUCACUGCCUGAUUUUCGUCACUCUGAAGCAUUUAGAUCACUUCUAGCUAACUAUCUGAUGUGUGCUUUUGGCAGCUGGUAUUCUGGAAGGCACGGUUAGGAAUGAAAGCAGGCCUUUUCUCCUUCCUCCUGUUUCUGAGGUGGAGGGCCCGGGAGGGCUGGAGGUGCCUGCCUCCACGCGAGGCUUCUCGCCUCUCUCCUCUCGCCUGGCGCUGUUCUACCUGCUGGGGCAGUGGUGCAUGUCCCGGUGGGGAUGGGCAGAGAAGGCGGAGUGAGCUCUCCAAGGAAGAUCACAGGCAGGCAUGGGUGAGGGGAUGGGCAGUGCAACAAGCGUGCUCUCGGAAGACUGCUUGGAGAGGAAGGGACCUUUGCAUCCCGCGCCGAGGGGCCAGGGGUGGCGGAGCGGAGGCCCUGCGUGAGGAGCGGCCUUGAGCUGCGGAGCCCGGCCCCUGCGUUCGGGCCGUCUCCUGUCGUGAGCCCGUCCCCCACCUUGCUCAGGUGCUCACCCUGCUUGGGUUCCGCUCUCCUUUGGGUGAAGCCCUUGUGGCAGCCACCUGCCCCCUCAGCGAGGUCUGCGCACCCCAGGAACCGGAGAGGCCGGGCCUGGGGCGGGGCAUCCCCUGCUGACCUGCCGCUGCCGCAGGGGCUCCUCAGUCCGCGCAACCCUGCCCAGCCCGCCCCAAGCCCGCAGGUCUAAACGUAGGGCCCGUCCUCAUUCAGGGCCCGGCGA
ensembl:lncRNA